UACGUAGGAGGCAAGCGUUGUCCGGAAUUACUGGGCGUAAAGCGCGUGUAGGUGGUGGGACAAGUCUGCUGUGAAAGCGCCUGGCUUAACCGGGCGAGGUCGGCGGAAACUGUUCGACUCGAGGACGGUAGAGGGGGGUGGAAUUCCCGGUGUAGUGGUGAAAUGUGUAGAGAUCGGGAGGAACACCUGUGGCGAAGGCGGCCCCCUGGGCCGGCCCUGACGCUCAGGCACGAAAGCGUGGGGAGCAAACAGG
rnacentral:rRNA from 1 species